GGAGACGUGGCCGAGUGGUCGAAGGCGCUCCCCUGCUAAGGGAGUAGGCGGGAAACCGUCUCGA
rnacentral:tRNA from 1 species